rnacentral:rRNA from 1 species
GAUGAACGCUGGCGGUAUGCUUAACACAUGCAAGUCGAACGGACUCUUCGGAUUUAGUGGCGGACGGGUGUGUAACGCGUGAGAAUCUGGCUUUGGGUUUGGGACAACCACUGGAAACGGUGGCUAAUACCGGAUGUGCCGAGAGGUAAAAGAGAAAUUGCCUGAAGAUGAGCUCGCGUCUGAUUAGCUAGUUGGUGAAGUAAAGGCUCACCAAGGCAGCGAUCAGUAGCUGGUCUGAGAGGAUGACCAGCCACACUGAGACUGAGACACGGCCCAGACUCCUACGGGAGGCAGCAGUGGGGAAUUGUCCGAAAUGGGCGAAUGCCUGACGGAGCAAUACCGCGUGAGGGAAGAAGGCUCUUGGGUUGUAAACCUCUUUUCUUAGGGAAGAACAAAAUGACGGUACCUAAUGAAUCAGCAUCGGCUAACUCCGUG